rnacentral:rRNA from 1 species
AUGCACGAGCUCUUUGGGCUGCCACGCCGUUGGCUCCAGCAGCAGUGUCCCGCCAGCGACGGCACACUCACCCUCCUCGCUGGCGGCGACGAGGCCGCCGUCGCAUGCCUCGGCCCGCUCUUUUCCCGCCUCGGUCGACCUAUACACGGCCGGCCGGCGAGCAGAAAAAUCGCCAGCGCCACUGGGUCGACGCGCGGCUGUGGAAACUCCUGCUUGAACAGGUGUGACGCCUCGACGCCUGCAAGGUGGAGCCCGGGCUGGCGGCCGCGGACGACGCCACGUUCUGCCUUUGCGCGAUGGCGGCGGCCACUAAGCCGGCAUAGAGGAAGAAGAGGUGGAGGGCAUGCCCUCUAA